GGGCAUGGAGCCUGCUUCAUCGCGCUGCCUCAGGUGAUUGGCUGUCAGACGCUGGGGGCCCAGUCUCUGCCUUGGCGCCUUCUGCAGCGCUAAGGUCUUGGUUUUGCAGAAUUAAAGAAGGCCACCAAGUUUAGAGAACAAGAAAGAAGGAAAGCGGUGUGCAAAGAGGCUGAAGCUGCUGCCAUAUCAUGGUAGGCUCUAAGGCCUCACUAGCCAGUCAGGCCCUCCAGACAAUCUGCCAGUGGGAAGUGGUGCAGGUCUCUUCCUGCUGCUGGCUUGGAAGAGGA